AAGACUGGCUUAAACUGUGUGGCUGUUUUUCAGCUUUCAAGCCAACCAACAUCGGACAUUUGGACCUGGCACGUUGGAAUUAGAUACCGCUCUUUCUUUAAUAGUGUAAAUCAGGAGUAACUACUAAAGCCAAUGUAGUUUCAGUUGUAUAACCAGCAUGGAGGUAAGAAGCAAGACCCUUGGCUUGGACUGGUGUACUAAAUUGCAGCUGAGGUGGUGAAUUUCUCAAAUCAGGUAGGAUUCAGCUCCAGGGUCUGACUCAGGCCCAUCUCCACAGUAAACACAUAGAUAUUAAAGUUCACUGUGGGCUGAGAAAUUAUGCUAAAUGGUCAGUAAGAAAAAAAUGUCAACCCUAGACAGCUUUGUAGUUCAUAUAGAAUCGUAUAAAUAACUCUUGUAACAACAUAUUCUAACUUCAAAUAUUUCUGCCACUUUGAUGGGGGUGAAGUUGGUUGAUAAAUGUAAAUGUAAAGAGAGUGACUGUGUAGUGGGUAAAUGUAAAUUGUUUCUUUCUAAACAAGGGAUUACAGAUCAUGAUGCCUAUUUCUGACAUUAUUUUUUAAACUUUAAUAACACAAGAGGGCAGCAUGGUAGAAAAAGAGGUCUGGAAAAUGUAAUGACUAAAAAAACCCCAUGAUUUAAAUUCAACAUAUUUUAAAAUUAUGUUUUAUUAAAUGCAAAUACUCAGUCUUUUUUCUUUUUUAAUAAGGCUAUCAAGGUGCCAGUGGUGAAACAUAAAGCUGGGUAAUUGGCUUGAUUUAUGCUGAUCAUGUGUGACGCCCUAAGGUACUGGUACUUCAGAAAAAAUACCUCUUCAUUGUACUGUAAUACCUUUAUUCCACACCCAGGUAUUUGAUUACCUUUUCCUUUCUCUGAAAAUUCUAAAAUCUUUUCGAUAUUGUAACUAGGACCAUGGGUGGUGAUACUUCAUUGAUUAAUAAAAUAUUUUGCACAGAAAGUACCUUUCUUCUGUAGACUGCAGAGAUCAAUACAAAGGAGCAUAAGCAUUAUUCUUCUUAUACAGCAAUACAGGAGCUAAAGUCUAGAGGUUUAGUGAACUUGUGUAUAGCUGCACAGAGAGUCAGUGGUUCAGUCACGACUAGAUCUGACUUCCAGGUUCUUGCAGUAGCGUAACAAAGCGGGGGUGACCAAGACACCAGGUCUAGGUGCCAACCCUUCAGGCUGGGGUGAUGCAAAAAAUUCAGCUGCUGUCACCAACAGCACAGCCACUAUGCUGCUCUGUGUGUGGCUGCUGCCUGGAUCCUCAAGCACUUAGUCCCCUGGUUCCUUGCUUAGUGCUGAAUGGGUAUUGCCUCCUCUGGGUGGGAAAGCAGCAUUACUGUGUCUUAUCAAUGGAAGUCAUCCAGCGCUCAGCACAUCUUUGUGAUCCUUGUAGAUGCAAAAGUUAGCCCAUUGAAUUUGGGAUGCUUAAACUUGGCCUUGGUCUGUUUUUUAAAAUCUUAGUCGAUUCUUUUUUCAAGUGCCCAACGUAGGCUGGGCACUCUGCAAACAAACCGCUGACUAGAUUUCUCAUCCCAAUGACUUUACAUUGGGAUGGCAUAUUUGCAUGCAAAUAAGACAAAGCAAUUGAGCUAGCGUUGAUUGGUCUUGUGGUUCCAGCUCUGUGCACCACACUCAGUUUGCAAUUGUUAAAUUCCAUAGAUGCGAAGGGCAGUAUUGAGCUUUUCACUUUAACAAAGGCUAGAACUGGUAGAAUGAUGGGGGAGGCUAGAGAUGCAAUGUCAUUAUUUUAGAGGCCUUGAGCUAGAUGUUUAGCUUGUAUAAAUCAUUUGUGCAGCUCCAGUGAUUUAAUGGAGCUGGGCUGUUUUACACCAGCUAAGGUCUCUACAAUUUGACCAGCUAUGUAAUCACUGCAUGUGAUUAACGUACACAGUACCAGGGCAGCAAGAGAGCUCCAAAAUUCCAAACUUUUUUUUUCACCAGGCUUAGCAAAACAAACCAAAAUUGACAGCCUGGGAGGAUAACAGAUGAGUGCAGAAAAGUUUCUAAAUGCUCCAGGACAUUUGCAUGCCAGGAAUCUCUCUCUGGAUUUUACUUUCGUAACUCCAAUCUAUAAUAAGAUAUAGCUGCUUCUAAAAAUAAAUAAAGUAAAACAAAAGUCCAGUCACGAGUUUUUAUACUGAAUAUGAAGAUUCAUGUCAACUAGCAGCAUGAAGAUGGAAACUUAAAAUCCCUCAUUAUCUAACAAUAGCACUGUUCCCCCAAACCAAUACAAUUUACUGUGUAAAGGGGAAACUAAUCUGGAUAAUAUGGAGCAAUUUUUGUCUUGACGGUCAAAAUCCCUAAAAGAUUCAUUGGACACCAUUUUUUCCCUUGAGCUCCAUAGCAUCUGGGGUUCAUUAAAUGAGUUAUUGAGCCCUGGAUGCCUUCUAGUCUCUUUCCCCACUGGCAAAUCCAUAAAGAGCCAUAUUGGGUGUCCUUGAUUCACUGACUACAUCAUGAUACCUUCAGAGAGAAUCCCGUUAGGUGCCUCUGGCCCCUUAACUUCAGUAAAUUCAAUCAGGAUGAAAAUCAUGCUUCUGCAAAGCCAGAACAAGGCCUAUACAUCUCUUAAGGGAUUCAGGCUGUGUCCAUGAUGCACAGGCAUCUCUGCACUACGUUAAUCUAGCUAGCACAUUUCCCAAGAGCAGUGCAGCCACAGCAGCACAGGUUUCAGCUUGGGCUAGCAGCAGCAUUAAGUCCCCAGGGUCCUGGAAAGGACUGUAUAGUCCACACUGCGGCUGGUGCUGCCGCAUUUUCACUGUUUUUAGUACCCAAGAUUAAAGCAAGUGUAGGUAUGUCUAUGUCUGCUCCAAUCACCCCUUCCAGUUACAGUGCACACAUUUUCUAGGUAGUUCAUAAAUAUUGCCAGGCCUUUGGGGAGUUUAUCCUAAGGUAUCAACUCUUGGAAUGAAGUGAGGGUGUAUAUUUCAGUUGUCAUUAAAAGGAAAAAACAGGUAACGUUCCAACCCUCAUAGCUGCGAAGAAAUAGUAACCUAGGUGUUCCCUAAAGGCCAGAGAGCUAGGAAAAGAACCCAAACAUAAUAUUAUCUCUGUUUCUUUUUUUUUUUUCUUUUCUAAGGCCACCUUAUGCUUUUUGAGCCCUUAGGAUUGGUAGAAUGGCUGAUCCUUUUUCCAUAUGGUUGAAUUUCACCCUUUGGGAGUACUGUAACUAUUUAUGUGGUGUCUAGAAUGUAUUUCCUGAUUAGUGCACAUUGUCAAUACUGGGAAAUGGAAUCAGUAUUGAUAACUGGGUAUCCUUGUGUUGUGAAGAGCAGUAGCUGAUAAGACAUUCUGGCCUGUGCUUCCUGGUGUUCAAGGAUCACAGUAAAAAUGUCUUCCAACUGCCCGCUGUGGUGCUGCUGCAGGACCUGUGACUUUCAUUUCUACAUCAGCUUCAGGAACCUGAAUCCUUCAGGACAACAGAAGAUUCUCCCUUUUCAUUCUUCCUCUGUCCUGGUCCCAAGUUGUAAGAAGCUGGUGAUAUUUAUGAAUAAUCAGAGCUGUAUAAUCACUGUCCUGUCCACCAUUAAUAAGCCUCUCUGUUGUUAAGCUUGGGCACAACCACCCUUCUGCAUGAAUGACAGUUUCUAGCUAGAAUGAUCAUUUUGAAUUUAACAAUGAACUUGAAGACAAGAUUAAUCUUUAGGGCCGUAUUUUUAGAAUUGUAUCUAAACAAAUGAGUAAUUAGACACUUAAUCCACAGUUAGCACGAGUGCUCUCAUGCAGUAAAAGGGGACUUCAGACAGCCAAUGCACCAUUUUAUUCUGGAAUCUCUUAUGUGGCAUGAUGCCACAAGUUCAGGUUUAAAAAUAUCCUGGCAUAUCAUGAUCCAAGGAGCAUGAGACUCUCACUACAUCGUAAGACUCUCUGACAGUUUUAAAAUUCUUGCUUUAAACGACUUUCAUUGCUUAUGACUCAGUGAUUUGCUUGUUUAUUUUUUCUAUUCCAAAGCAAACUAUGCAUUAAGAGGUCCAAUGCAUCACUUCAGGGAUUCAAUAUAUUCAAAAACAUGCUAGCAUUAAAAAAAUAACAUGGAAAAAUACUUCUAAUACUUAAUUAUUUUUUAUGCAUUAUAAUAUAUUUCCUUUAAAAAGCAGUAGACAAAAAUAACCUAAACCAGACCUAGGAAGCAUAAGAAAGUGUCCCUAAGAUCUAGUAAGGCACAGGUUGCCUUUCAAUCAGCAGGAGCUGUCAUUUUCCACUAGGUACCUUCAGGAAGAAGCUACAAGAAACUGAUAGGAAUUUAAAUCUAUGUGUUGGAUUUUUGACCUAUUAAACUACAGUCAAGUUAUGAUAACCAUUGCUAUUGAUCAGUAAGAUGGAUUGAGAAAGCCUGGUGUAUUACCACUUAUUAAAUUACAUGCUACAUUUUUUGGUA